UGUGUUCAGCGCUUAUAUGCAGAUCGAUCCUGAAAACACGUUUGUAUGAAGCAGAUGCUAUUACCAGCCCCUUCCAACAGGUGGUGGCACUGAGAUAAGUCAUUUGCCUGGGGUCACACAGCUAGUCUGUCACCAAAGGUUUUGAGAUCAGGAGAGAAAAUGCAGAUUCUUCAAAGCAGAAGAAAUGUCUGACUCUACAUCUAUUGUUACUUCAGAGGAGAAUAAAAUUGAAUCACCAAUUUUACAAAAAAAAGACUAUAAACAUUUAGGAAAU